AGAAUUAGGGUUUUGCUCUGGGUUAGGCUUUGACUUAAGGCCACUUAAACUUUCUUCCUAUCAGCAAUAAGGCUGUUUUGCUUUAUCAAUUUCAUGUGCUCACUUCAUUAAAACUUCAA